UACGUAGGGGGCAAGCGUUGUCCGGAAUCAUUGGGCGUAAAGAGCGCGUAGGCGGUCCGGUAAGUCCGCUCUGAAAGUCCGGGGCUCAACCCCGGGAGGCGGGCGGAUACUGUCGGGCUAGAGUCCGGAAGAGGCGAGUGGAAUUCCUGGUGUAGCGGUGAAAUGCGGCAGAUAUCAGGAGGAACACCAAUGGCGAAGGCAGCUCGCUGGGACGGUACUGACGCUGAGGCGCGAAAGCGUGGGGGAGCAAACAGG
rnacentral:rRNA from 1 species